UUAGAGAUGACUUCGGCAGCACGCCCAGCGAAGGGUUUCCCGGAGAAGGGAGCUCGGCAGUCUGGCCUCAGGCCGGCCGCCCUGGAACUUUAAAGCAGCUCUCAGAAUCCGCUCACUUCCAGGAUUCUGAGCCUCACCUCUCUGGGUGUCCGAAUUCCUGCACUAGGCAGCAAGAGGGGACUGGAAUGUGUGCCAAACUGGUCUGGCCUUUGUAGGAGACUCCAAAGCCCGCCUCCACAGUGAUGCACUUUCUCCAGCGAGGCCACAGCUCCUAAGAGUGGCAUUCCCCAUGGGCCAAGCAUUCAAACACAUGAGUCUAGGGGGCCAAACCUAUUCAAACCACCACAACAUACUUCUUAAGACCACAGAGAUACCUGGCUGGAAACGACCUGGAAGUUUCCUCUCUGCUGACGAGGUGACACAGUGCCAGCAGGUGCUGAACAAGAUGCUGGGGGAGAAUAAAUAUUGGUGGAUUUAUCCAGCGAAGGACCCUUCAUGCUACAAAAACGACAUGCUAGGCCUGAUGUAUCCACUGGUACAAUAAUGGCCUGAGCGUAUGGUUGAAGAUAAGACCCUGUUACCGAAGACAGCAUGCACUAUAGACGGAGGACUCUGGAGCUGAGCUGGGCCUGACCUGAAAUCUCAAUCCCUGAGACUAGCGUUCAUAGUUAUCAUAUAAGGUGCCAAAAGCGGGGACCGAUCAGUAAUCCUACCCACCUGUGAAGCCUGUGAGCCACAGCAAUGAGCAGCAUGGCAUGAUACUCUUAAGGAUACAAUAGCGACACUCAUCUUGGUGGCAACCAACAGCUUUCUAAUUGGACUUGGGGCCUGCUCAUGAGGAGGAAAAUCAUGCCCAGAAUUGAAAACCUAACCACAUUUCGAGGACUAAUGAGGUCUUGGACCUUAGAGAGACUUUUUUUCCAUCACUUUAGUAUACCAGCACAAUUCCUAAUUUUAGUUAACAUUGAAAUUCUCUAGCUCUGAGUCUCUAGAUGGACAAAUAAUACCCGUGGCAAUACCAGUUCCUCUAUUCCUGUACUGUGUUCUUUCUAGAGUGAUAGACUAAGAGGGUUUGGGAUUCUUAAGAUAAACAUGGUCUAAUCUGUCCAUGUGCUGAUGAGGACACUGACACGAGCCUCUUAGGGAAUCCAUCGUCAUCCAUACUCUAUGCUGGUGGCACCUUAAAAUUGCUCUUCUUCCCACAAU